UCCGCCCACCCUCACGUGUGCCCCAGCUCGGGCUCAGUGUGGCGCAGGACGCCCCUCACGCACGUCCUGCGGCUCAGUGCACUCUCUACAGUCCUUUCGAGAAGCGGGGGUUACAGGGAAGGCCUCAGACACCAACACAUAACUAUUCGAUCUUGAAGAGAAAAAAAAAAAUCUAAAUAAUGAUAAUUCGAAGACUUUUUUUCAAUGUCAACAUGAUCCGUAUUUGUGAACACCAAACACUAACAACGGCGUCGACACAAGCACACCGCCUUGGGGAACUCCAGGGGAUUUUACACAAUUACACAGUCUCUCUCACACACACACACACACCACCUGUAGAAUCGUGAAGGGCCGUCGUCUGCACCACCUGGCCGCCACCUUGCUCUUCUCUCACCUGUCGCUGGGAGUCUGACCACCUGUCGGCCACCUGCGAAAAACCUUCCGCCUCAGGGUUUAAAAUCUCGUCCGGACACUAAUUGGCAACUCAAGUUUACACCGAAGGUCGUAAUAUCAAGAAGCAAGAAGAACACGCGUUUAAUCCCAGCCAAGGUACCGCUGUGGAAAAUCGCGUUGUCCGCCAUUUUUAUGGUCGUGUUUACAGCUGUGCUUUCAUGGCGUCUAACAGCUGUUCAUCGCAUUCGGUACUGCUGUUGGAUAUAUUGCGGGUCUGUAGAAGGAUAAUCUUUUAAGAUUAUUGUUGAUGGUUUUGAUGAGGUUUUCGUUUGAUGAGGAUGGUGCUGUGAUGUUAUGUGUGUGUAAGUGUGUGUGUGUGGGGGGGGUGAGUGUGUGUGUGUGUGUGUGUGUGUGUGUGUGUGUGUGUGUGUGUGUGUGUGUGUGUGUGUGU